rnacentral:tRNA from 1 species
GCGGCCAUGGUGAAACUGGUAGACACGCAGCACUAAGGAUGCUGUGGAGCAAUCCUUGGGGGUUCAAGUCCCCCUGGCCGCACCA